rnacentral:pre_miRNA from 1 species
UGUUAGGUCCAGUGUCGAGACAAAUUAGCCUUGGGUCAUGCGUUAGGACCCACGUCUCAUGAUCCGGAUACUGGACCUAACAUAAUUGGGUUCAGUGUCGGAACCCAACAUAAUUGGGUCCGAACACAGGACUCAAGGCUAAUGGGUCUUGAUGCAUAACCCAACA